rnacentral:rRNA from 1 species
UACGUAGGGUGCAAGCGUUGUCCGGAAUUAUUGGGCGUAAAGAGCUCGUAGGCGGCCACCGCAAGUCGACUGUGAAAUCUCCGGGCUUAACCCGGAAAGGUCAGCCGAUACUGCGGGGCUAGAGUGCAGAAGGGGCAACUGGAAUUCUCGGUGUAGCGGUGAAAUGCGUAGAUAUCGAGAGGAACACCUGCGGCGAAGGCGGGUUGCUGGGCUGACACUGACGCUGAGGCGCGAAAGCUAGGGGAGCGAACGGG